GAAAAGGCAAACCCUGGAUUUCCGUGUCUAACAUUUGACUGUCCGUUUUAUAUGAAAUUUUUUUAUAAUUAGUAUUUUCAUUGUUGUUAGAUGAUAAAACAUGAUUAAUAUUUUAUGCGUGACUUGUCUUUUUAAUUUUUUUCAUAUUUUUUUUAAAUAAGACGAAUGGUCAAACGUUGGACACGGAAAUCCAAG
rnacentral:pre_miRNA from 1 species